UACGUAGGGUGCAAGCGUUGUCCGGAAUUAUUGGGCGUAAAGAGCUCGUAGGUGGUUUGCUGCGUCCGCUGUGAAAACCCAAGGCUUAACCUUGGGCUUGCAGUGGAUACGGGCAGACUAGAGGUAGGUAGGGGAGAAUGGAAUUCCCGGUGUAGCGGUGAAAUGCGCAGAUAUCGGGAGGAACACCGGUGGCGAAGGCGGUUCUGUGGGCCUUACCUGACACUGAGGAGCGAAAGCGUGGGGAGCGAACAGG
rnacentral:rRNA from 1 species